UUAGUAUGUAAAGAAACUAUUAUGGUAUUUAGGGCUAUGUAUUAAAGAGAAUUAUUUAUAUAUAUAGAGAUGAAUAUCCUAUAAAUCUAUAAACUCUAAGAUAAAUCUAAUAUUAAACGAAGUGAAUUGAAAUAUCUUAAUAACUUCAGGAAAAUAAAUCAAAAGAGAUUCUAUGAAUAGCGUGAGUAAAAAUAGAGUAGUCUAUAAAGUAAAACGAUACAAAAUUGUUUAAAUAAAAUGGGGAACCUUCCUCAAAGACUAAAUAUGAUACAUAAGCGAUAGAGAAAAGUACUAAGAAGGAAAAAUAAAAUAGUAGUUUUAUAAGCAGUUCGAAAAAAAAAGGACAUACCUUUUGCAUAAUGGGUCACCAAGUUAACGUUAGAUGCGAGUAUGCGCGUAGUUAAACCGGAGAUUAAAUUAACGAAAUAGUGUCUAAAGUUAGACCCGAAGCACGGUGAUUUUACCAUAGUCAGGAUUAUAAAAGUCCGAACGGGUGAUUGUCUCAAAAAUCUCCGAAGAACUGUGGUAGGUGUAGUGAAAGACAACACUGACUGUGAUAGCUGGUAUUCUGCGAAACCUAUAAUAGUAGGCAAUUUAAAUAAAUAUCUUAGCAGGUACAUAAUUUUAAUCUCAGACAAGACGUGUAAACGUUUUAUUUUGUACAAAUUGGGGGAUCGUGAAGAUUUUAUCAGUGAGUAUGUAUACUCGGAAUGGUAAAGAUAUAUAUUAAAUUAUCAGACAUAGAAUGAUAAGGUUGUAUGUCAAAAGGGAAACAGCCCAGAACAAGAGUUAAGGUUCCUAAAUUAUUCGUUAAGUGAAAUUAAGAAAGUUUUUAUUAAAGUCGACAAGGAGAUAGGCUUAGAAGCAGCCAUAAUUUUAUGACCUCGUAACAGAGCGCUUGUUAAGUUAUAAGAGCAUCGAUAAUUUAACGGAUCUAAACAAUAUACCGAAACCUUGUCCAUAAUAUAUUAUAUUAAAUAUUGUUUAAUAUAAUUAAAUGGGGUAGCAGAACAUUGAGAUAUAUUACGAUUUCUAUUUUUUAAAUAGAAUUAUAAUGAUUUAACUCAAGUGAGAAUGGUGACAUGAGUAACUAAAAGAAAAUUUUCCGCCUUAAGCUUAUGGUUAUAAUUAAGUAACGGCCUCUAAGUUUAUAUUAUCUAAAGAUUUUAAUGAUGAGAAAAUCUUUUUUACUAAGGACAACAUUUUAGUGUAAAAUGUGCAGGAAAAAUAGUAAAUAUAUUUGUUCAUUAAUAACAAAUGAACCAUAACCGUACCUAGAAUCUAAAAAAAGUAAGCUAGUAGAGAAUACGAAGGCGUAAAUGAGCUAACAAUCAUAAAGGAACUCGGCAAAUUGACUAUCGUAACUUCGGAAUAAGAAGGGCUCAUUAUUCUUGAUUAAUAUCAAGUAAAAAGGAAGAAGCAUAAAAUAAUGUUGUACGACUGUUUAAUUAAAACACAGCACUUUGCUAAAAGAUAAAAAAAUCUAAGUAUAAAGUGUGAUACCUGCCCGGUGCCGGCUGGUUAACAGAAAUAAUUGAAUAUACUAUUAUUUGAUGCAGACGGAAACCCCGGUUAAAGGCGGCCUUAACGUGAGGGUCCUAAGGUAGCGAAAUGCCUUGGCCGUUAAAUGCGGUCUUGCAUGAAUGGUGUAACGAUACAACAGCUGUCUCUAUGAUUGACUCAGUGAAAUUGGAAUAACAGUGCAGAUACUGUUUACCUCUAGUUAGACGAGAGAGACCCUAUGCAGCUUUACUGUCACUAAUUAUAGAGUAUGUUAGACAAUUUUCAGAUUAUAAGGUAAUUGACUAUAUGACAAUGAGAAUCCUUUAUUUUUCUUUCAUAUGAAUGAAUUGGUUUAGGUUGUAUAUAGAAUAUAGAUAAUGUGGCUUUACUGAGUCGUUUUUUUUACCAUUAAUUAUAUUCUUUAUAUAGCUUAUAAUGGUAAACCAGCCUAAUUCAGCUUAUUUUACUUUAUUUUUUAAUAAGAAUAAGUACCCUUUGGCUAGGAACUAUCGUUAGGGGACAGUUUAUGUGGGGCACAGACCCUGUAAAGAGUAAACAGGAGUGUCUAAUAAUUUAUAAUUAUUUUGUUUGCUAUUUUGAGUAGUUUAACUACUUUUAAUCAUAUAUAAUUAUUUAUAUUUGCGGGCUUCAAGGCUACGUAUAUAUAUUUAAGUUUAGGUAGGAUUUUCACUAAAUAGAAAUUAGAGAUAAUUGAAAAUAUUAUGAGAUCUUUCUAAUGUUUUCUAGCUAUUAUUUAUAAUAGUUAUGUUUUUAAUAUCAAAAAAAAAGUUCAACGGCUAAAUCUUGCCUUACUGUUUGAUUAUCUACAAAUCUUACAGUUGCGUAAGCAGGGCAUAGGAUCACAAGAUGCAAUAAGGAAAGAUCUUGGAUUUUUGGAAAAGCUACGCUAGGGAAGAACAGGCUAAUUUGCGCAAGAGUGUACAAAAUGAGUGCGCGGUUUGGCACCUCGAUGUCGGCUUAACUUAUCCUCAUGGAUGCAGGAACUAUGUAGGGUGCGACUGUUCGUCGAUUAAAAAGUUACAUGAGCUGGGUUAAGUAUUUAGCCCAGAAAUAAUUAGCUAUUUGCGAAUUAUUAAGAAAAUCGGGUAAAUUUCAAGAAUAACUAAAGAUAGUAAACUUGAAGCGAAAUUUAUAUUAAUAGUAUAAAAACGUUCAACGACUAUAAGGUGAGCGUCAUACUAGGUUUUAGUAUGAAAGUUAUAAUCCUUUUAAGAACACCCGAUGUAUAGUUAAAAUUAUAGUAUAAUAAGUAAAGUAAAAUAAUAAUAAUUUAAUAAAAUAAACAACUUUAAUAAGAUAUUUAAAUUCAGUUAUGAAAAACAAAUCUUUAACUGAAAUAGACAAAUUUAUAAGAACUAGAAAUGAAUUGCCUAUAUAUUUAGGUGAGGUUAUGAUUGGAUUAAUGUUUGCGAAGCCGUGACGGAUCUUUAGAAAGAUCUUCAUCUACAAGUGGAGUUCGUCUUUCUAUAUGUUUUAGUAAGAAGCAUGCAGAAUAUUUAAAGUUUAUAUAUGAUUUAUAUAAACCUUACAUAAGAACCUGCUUCUAUUAAAGUUUAUAAUAAAAAGACAGAUUCAUAUAACGAGGUAUUAAAAUUUAAAACAAUAAGUUUAAAGGUAAAAAAAUAGUUCCAGGUAAUAUAGAAAAACUAAUGACACCUGUAGUAUUAGCCCAUGGGUGAUGGUAAUUUAAAACUACCAGAUAAAAUUCUUCGUAUUUAUACGAACAGUUUUAUUAAAGAUGAUGUUAAAUUAUUAGCUUCAAGUAUAACUUCUAAAUUUAAUAUAAAAACUAAAGUAGUUCAUGAUAGAAAUAAUCAAUAUAUUAUAACUAUUAGUAAAAGUGAAUUACAGAAGGUAAAAGAUAUUCUUCAAGAUCAUAUGUAUUCUUCUAUGUUAUAUAAAAUAGAUUUCUUGCUACUCCUCCGUAGGAUCCGUAGGAAGGAACAAAAAUAUUUCUCAUAAUUUUGAUUAUAAUAAUAUACAUUUGUUCAAUAAAUCUGCUAUUUAUUAUGGUAAUAUAUUAGAUCAAUAUAUUAAAUAAUAAGUAGUUUAUAACCUAAAUACUUUCAAUACUAUAAGGGGUACUAUAUGGUGACAUAGUCUGAACCAUUUUUAAAGAAAUGGAAAAAAAAAGAAAAUUUUGAUAACACAUAGUAAAUACGUCGUGAGACAGUAUGGUUUCUAUCUUCUAGGGGGAAUUAGAAUAAAAUAAGAAUAAACUUUUGUACGCAAGGAACAAGAAGAGUUUAACCUUUAAGGUUAAAAUAUAGUUACUAACCUAUGGUUUACCUGUUGUUUAUGUGCCCAAAUAUUAAAUAUAUAUGCUUUUGUAUAUAUAUCUGUAUUCUUAUACGUACCCUUUAAAAACUGAAGGAAAGGAUGUUUCUCUCACUAAGAUAAAUGUAUAGCAUAAGCACGGCAGGAACGCUAAGUUGGUUAAGGAUAAGUGCUGAAAGCAUAUAGGCACGAAGCUUAUCUUAAGAUAUUUCUUAAAUAUACGUAAUAAACUAUUACAUAAUUUAUAGGCUUUAUCCGUACGAAUUUAGAGAUUUUAAAGAAUAAAGUACUAAUUUAAUAAUUUACUAGGUAUAAAUAUAUC
rnacentral:rRNA from 1 species